rnacentral:lncRNA from 1 species
CGGGGUGGAAAGAUGGGGUCACGUUGGCCUCAUCUUUGUGUCUCCAGCGCACAGUAGGUCCUCAGGCCUGCCCUUGUCCAUGAAGCUUCUAAAUCUUCAAGCGUGGUGGUUGCUGUUUGAAAACACCCUAUGGCCUCAGUUUCCUCGUCUGCGAAUGGGGACGAUGACGACAAUGCCCCAGAGGGGUUGGAGGCCUGGAGGAGGGUUUCCAUGCUCCCCAGGAGCGCCCGGAACCGGAGGCCGCGCACAUGCGCUGUCCGAAGUCACGCAGCUGGAGAUGGGGCGCUGGGAUUUCAACUCGGGGCCCCUGGAUCAGGGCGGCAGGCGGGAGAGCUGGGCUGGGAAGGGAAGGCGCUGCCCAGAUGUCCCUGUGACCCAGGACCCCACUUCUCCUUUUUGCCCCGUGCAGUCAGCACACAGGAAGCCUGGCUGGGGCCUCCCUUGCCCACCCCGUCUACAGCCGGGUGGACACGGGGUCCUGGUGUCACCCGCCACCACCCCGGGCCUCCCCCUUCCUGUCUUGCGCAAGACAAGGCGUCCCCUGCGUGGAACGGGCGGGGGCUCGGCGGAUGGGGGACGGGGCAGUGGGGGCCUCUCAGGCGGGGUCACUGCCCGCUGUUACCGCCAGCAGCCCCCGCCCCUUCCUCCUCCUCCUCUGUUUCCCCAAAGUUCAGGCAGCCUUGAGCAAGAGGCUGGGGGACCCAGGAAGCUGGGGAGGCCACCUGGCCAACAUCUUGUCCCAACAGGGCCGGGCUGGGCUCGGGCCGUUAUGGAGAGUGUCCUAAACAACGCAGACAACUGUAAUAAUAAUGGCUCCUGUCUGUGGAGUGGCAUGUCUGUGCCAGGCACUUCUCGUUUACACCCCAGCAUUUGGAUCAGCUCCUGGUGUCUGCUGUGUGCUGUGCUGAGCCCGUGUGCCCUGCUGAGCCCUUAUGCACGGGUCACACUCAAUCCACGCUAAAACCUCGUGACGCAGUUUUUUAUCAUCUCUUUCUUCCGAUGAGGAAACCGAGGCUCUGAGAGGCAGAGGGACUUGCCCAAGGUCACGCAGCUCAGCCGCAUCCCAGUGAAGGUCGCUGUCUGUGUACCUGGUGGCACUGUCCUGGGAGGGGGGAGGCCCAGAAGCGAGGGCAUUCCACCUCCGGGCCUCAGUGUCCCCCAUGGACCAGCUCUGGUUCUCAGGCUUGUUUCUGGGUCAGAAGAGGCACCGCCCGCCCUCCUUGUUUCCCGUCCUCACUCCCUGCUGUGCUCUCCUUCGUGCCUGGGGUCACCUCCCACGUAAACCGCUGGCCCCCACGUCCUUGUCUUGAGUCAGCCUCGCCCCCUGAGCCAGCAGACGUCUGGCUCGGAGGUCGAGAGCUCUGGAAGCAGACAGACCUGAGUCUGAAUCCUGGCACGUGACUGACCUUGCCGUGACCUUGGGAACCCGCUGGCUCUCCAGGACCUCAGAUCUACGAAAGGGGGACGCAGAACCAGAGACCCGAGCAGUGGCGAGCUGGGCGGGGGAGUGUGCAGUGACGGGGCCUGGAGUGGGCUUCCCAGAUGCGGGACUGGCCAGCAACUCGGGCCGCCAUGUCUGAGGGCUGCUGGGGGGCGAGUAGGAGCUGGGUGGUGGGAGAGGCGGGGGAGGGGGCGAAGGGAACAGCCUGGACGGAGGUGGGGAGGAAGGACUGGCCAUGAUUCCAGGCUGUGGGGGGAGGCGGGUGGGGUGGACAGGACGGGCACCCUUGUUCCCCGCUGCUGCCCCCGCUCCGGAGGUCCAGGGAGCCCACUGGCAUUCUCAGGCGGAGCAGAGAACCGUGCGCUCACUCCUCGUGGGUGAGGCUGGGCCGGUGGAGGGCUGUGUCGCCCGGGCCUCUGCAGCUCACCACGCUGGGGCCCUCUCUCCAGAGGAUCCCUUCCCUGGUUCUGUGGUGGCAGCGGGGCGGGCAGACUGGCUGCCCCUCUUUUACCCUGGGCGGAGCCUCAAGCCCUGACCACACACCUGGGGUCUUCCGCACCACAGUGAUGGCAGCCCCCGCCACCUGGCUGCCCAGGCGCUAAACCCAGGUUUCCCUCUUCUACCCCCAGGGCUGGUCCACCAGUGAGCUCGUCCAAGCAUCCAAGGGCCUGCUGCCACUGGCCUGCCCUGGUCCAGCCCUGCCUUCUCCUGCUAGGACCCUUGCAGUGGCCUCCUCAUUGGUUUCCCUGCCUCCACUCUUGCCCUCCUAAGCCAGAGGGAUUCCCUUAGAACUCAAGACAGAUCCUGUCCAUCCUCUGCUUAGAACCCUCCAUGGCUCCCACUGCACUAGGAGCAGAAGUAGCCCACAAGGCUCAGGCGGACCGCCAGCCCCUUCAACUCCCCAGCCUCUCUAACUACAGUCCCUGCCACCAGCCCACCCACUCUCUCCUCUUUGCUGCUCAGCUGCAGCCACACUGGCCUCCUCCUUGUGCCAUGAACACACUAAUCAUCCUGCUGCCCCAGGCCAUUUGCACUUGCUCUUCCCUCUGGGAUGGAGGACACUCUUCCUGCAGCUCCUCACGUGGUUUCUUCUCUGCAGUCAGGCCUCAGCAACAAAGUCACCCCUGAGCGAAGCCCUCCCCAGUGAGCCCCUCAUUUCCGUCACCUCGGGCUGUUUUAUUUUCUUCCUGGUACUGAGAGCUUAUCCUAGAAAAUUACCCCACUUGUAAUCCUGUUUCUUGCUGUCUUCUUGCUCUGGAAUGUCGCCAUCUCUCGGGGGGGAGUUUGGUCUGCAUUGUUCAUUGCUGUACCCCCAGCCCCCAGCGCAGGGUCUGGAUGGGGCAGGUGCCCAGGAAACGCUGUAAAUGAAUGAAUGAUGGAGUGAAUGAAUUAAUACUGCUACACUUGAGGGGGCUGAGGGCCAGAGAAAGCCCCAGGGGACUCGCAGUCUAGUGCUCCUCCUCCGCACUCGCCCUGGUCUCUGCAGCAGUUUGUUGCCUGUGCAGCACAAGGAAGGAGUGCCAGGUGUGGUCCUGGGUGUGAAUCUCGCCUCCUACCCAUCUUGGCUCUUGCUGGGUCCCACGGAGGUCCCAGCGGCGGGGGGCCGAGGGGCCGAGGGGCUGAGGGGGUGGGCAGGGCGUGGUGAGGGCUGGGCACAUGGCAGCUGCUCACUGGACGGGAAGGGGCAGCAGUGGGGGCUCUGGCUGGCGGUCCCCCCUCGGCUCCGGGUCCCGUCAUUACCGCUCGCCCUGCUUGAUGGCCCGAGGGAUCUG